CCCCAUCUCCAGAGUUUGUAAUCUAGUAGUUCUGAGGCGGGGCACAAACACUUGCAUUUCUGACAAGGUCUAAGAACCACACUUUGUGAACUCCUGCCUCAAACCAUAAACAGAAAUAAUGUAUAGGUGGCUUCUCUCAGUGUUGGUCUUCUCUUUGGCCAGGUCAAAAGUAUCACCAGGCAAAAAUAAUUAUCACAUGUCAACUUCCUCUACCCCAAAGCAGAACUGAAGAAGAGAAGGGUGGAUGAAAAGAGAAAGAAACAUGCAAGGUGCAUCUCAUUUUCAAAAGUAGUGAGAGUAAGAAGAAAGCAAUCCUUCAGAGGAGGCUCUGAAGAGACAUGGCCAAAAUGAAGGUAGAGCAGUGGGGUUGAGAGGGGAAGGAGACUUCUGGGGAGAGAGAUGCUAGGAUCUAGCUCUACUUUGUGAAAGAAGUGGGGGGCAGGGAGAAUAAAAUAAUUUUUUGUAAAGGAACCGUUCAGUGAGUCUCCUUCCUAUCAUUUGAGAACUGAGUUAUUGCGAAGCUUUGUUUUGGCAGAAGCAUACAUAAUCUUCUGUGGAAAAUGCAACAGGAGGAGAAUGAAGCACAUGGAUCAAGAUUUUAUAAGCAUCAAAUGACUCAAUAAAGUUUAUCAUCAUGGAGAAGUCACAUAGGACUUCUGCAUUCAUCUCACACCGAAAGGGAUUGAUUCCCAGUACCAGGAAUAUUUCGGAAUAGAUUUCAGGAUAAACUACUCCUUUGGCAAACCUUAAAGCAUCUUCUGCAUUUCCCGGCUGCCUCGGCAGAUGGCGCAAUUGAACCACACGGUGCGCGGCAGCGCAGCUGGCCGGAACCUGCCCUGGGCAGCCGUCCUGGGCUGCUUUCAUGACCUACAAACCUGCCUUCCUCUUGAAUGUCCGACGAGAACAGCCGUCCUUGCAGAGGGCAGCACAACAGUGAUGUCACAGUACAGUCUGAGGUGUCCCUUAAAUACCCAGCUCCCUGGAGGCUCCUAUAGAGGCGAAGUCUGUCGUUUUCUGUUUGGGGCAAUCAAGACGGUGUCUGCUGCUUUUCUGCCAGGUCUCAGGCACCCUUCAAAGACGACCAACCCUGACGGGAGAAGUAAAUCAGAUCAAGGAGUUCAGGAGCCAACACAAAAGAAACUUCCCUGAGAUCAGUGUAGGAGAUGUGGAGUUCCCAGCUACUCCAAAACCUGAAUGUGUUUCUGUUUUCAAGUCAAGAAAAUAAAGGUCCUAUUCAAGAAUCCACAGUGGCUAUUUCAACAAUGACCAAGCCCAAUGAAUUAUGAUCAAAGGUCAAGAAAAAUAUUGGUUCUUACAUCAGCAUAAUGGAUUAUUUGCUUUAAGAAAAAAAGCUUAGUAUAAUAUUAAUGGAAACAUUCUGCAAGUCUUAUGAAGAAAUUUUUUGUUCCAAAUAAUAUGCUCGUCUUUGACAAUUGAUGAAGAGAUUAAAUACACACAAAUUAUUUGAUGGAGUUACAUGGACUUGAUAUACAAAAAGACAUUUUUUUCCCAUUCCUGGUGUUUUCUACAAGAGCCGCAUGUAUUUGAUGUCUCUGGUCCAAAUAUUACACUCUUAAACAUUCAGAAAUGUGUAGAGUAGACCUGCUAUGUCAAAACUGUUACCCUUAAAAUAUCAUCUGUUAAGCUAUGAAUAUAAAAUAUAUGAAUUGAUGCAAAAAUAUAUGCAUGGAUACAUCUUGGUGCUUCUCCAAGGUAUAGAAGACUUUUAGCUUCAUUUCACAAAUGGUUGUUAAUAAUACCAUCCUUCUCCUACUCUCUUGCAAAGCAUUGUUUAUAUAUUUACCCCUUAUACUUGUUAUCUCAUUUCACGCUCACAGAUGGGUUUUAUUGACUCCAUUGAACAAACAAAUCUAAGGCUGAGAAAAUUUGAGUAACCUGCCCAGGGUGGAGGUGGGAUUUAUUUGAACCCAAGUCCCAUACUCUUUGCACUGAGCCUCCACACUCGCUGGAUGGGUGUGUAUAAUUUCAGGUUUUGAAAGAGCAAGCUUUAUGGUUUUGUUUGCCUUUACAUUUUUUCCCAGCUGGAAAGCCCUUACCCUGCCUAAAGCAACCUAAGGUUUAGAAAUAAACUUCUGCCAGUCUUUUAUGUAGUGACCUCGCUCCCG
ensembl:lincRNA